GUGGAGCUGAUCUGGGAUACUGGACAUACCACUGGAGAGACUCUGCAGAGGAGUAGCUACAGGACAAGAGAAAACAUCCCACCUGCUGCUGAGCUCCUCCUUUUGUCUAAGGGCUCAAACUUCAGCUUCUGAGAUUCUGACUGGAGACUAGAUCACACCACACACCCAAACAUGCACAGCAUUGAAGCUGUAACAUGCCAUGUAAUUCCACUUAAUUGGCAAAUGUGAACUGUAAACUGGAAUGUACUGCACACCAAACUAGUGAAAAGACUGUACUUCA